AUACGGAGGGUGCAAGCGUUACUCGGAAUCACUGGGCGUAAAGCGCGCGCAGGCGGCUUGAUAAGUUGGAUGGGAAAGCCUACGGCUCAACCGUAGAACUGCAUCCAAAACUGUCAAGCUAGAGUCUGGGAGGGGAAGAUGGAAUUAGUUGUGUAGGGGUAAAAUCCGUAGAGAUAACUAGGAAUACCAAAAGCGAAGGCGAUCUUCUGGAACAGUACUGACGCUGAGGCGCGAAAGCGUGGGGAGCAAACAGGAUUAGAAACCCCGGUAGUCC
rnacentral:rRNA from 1 species